GAGAGGACGACCAGCCACACUGGGACUGAGACACGGCCCAGACUCCUACGGGAGGCAGCAGUGGGGAAUUUUGGACAAUGGGGGCAACCCUGAUCCAGCAAUGCCGCGUGAGUGAAGAAGGCCUUCGGGUUGUAAAGCUCUUUUGUCAGGGAAGAAACGGUGGUAGCUAAUAUCUACUACUAAUGACGGUACCUGAAGAAUAAGCACCGGCUAACUACGUGCCAGCAGCCGCGGUAAUACGUAGGGUGCAAGCGUUAAUCGGAAUUACUGGGCGUAAAGCGUGCGCAGGCGGUUGUGUAAGACAGAUGUGAAAUCCCCGGGCUCAACCUGGGAAUUGCAUUUGUGACUGCACGG
rnacentral:rRNA from 1 species